UUGUACGUGUGGAAGGCAGUUGUUCACGGCAGACCAGUGAGCGGCGGCGGGUGGGCGCGACCACAUGGUGGUUGGAAGGUAGGCUUCGCGGCGUUCAACCUCGGCCACCAUCGUACCACGAUCUCGGCCCACCCGGAAAGUCGGAUGAAGAGGUGGUGGACGACUGAUCCCGGAGAGGAGAACAAGCCUCCGAGCACGUGCUCGUCAACUCCAUGCCGGCCGCUCCAAGCGCCCCUGCUUCGUGUCUUCAAGGCAGGCGCCGAGAUAGCCUUUGCAGCGAGCUGUGGUGUGUGGACUCUGCGGCGAGAUGGGAUUCAGAAUCCUUUUCCGUGGUGAGAUAACCCUGCCACCACUCAUAUGCCAUUGCAUAUAAGUGAAUCUGUUUUAUAGAAAUCAAUCUUGCACGUUGGUUAGCUCCGUAAUUUAUUUUAUUCCGUAGCAGACUGAGUUGCUCACAGCCUAUUUGCUGGAACGCCAACGAGGAGUCAUUUUUCCAUCUCCACAAAUAUUCUUGGUCUCUUCAAAUUAAUUGCUUCUUAAUCCAACUACCAUUUUUCAAGAUUAGUUCGUUUAUAUAAUAUUUAUUUUUGUACCAGUGUUGAUCAAGUAGGUUAUUAUUGUGAGGAAUCAGCAGUAGGAUGCACAUGUAUUUGUUUCUUGCCACUGGUUGCAAAAGCCUAAAAAAUGAUAUGUUUUAUUCACCUCUUAACAGUAAUACGAGUAUUUUGUUUAUUUCCUACUCCCUUUUAGUGUUUACUGAUUAGUCACUCUUAAAGGUGAAUGCAUGUGUAUAAUAGGUGUGUCAUGGCUGCAUUUUGCGGCCCCUGACUACUGGAAAGUAAUCUCCUUUGGAUGAUUUGUAUUUUUUUCUGGAAUUUGUACUUAGAUAGCACAUUCAAGGAAGGAAGGAGAUUGAGGUUGGCACCUCCUGAAGGCAUGCAUGCUCUUCACCGAGAGAGGGAAGGGCAUCUUUUUCUUGGGUUGCAGUUUCCACCUUGUUGUUGGGUGAGAGCUCUUGUGGAUAAUCAGACAUGGGGUGCAUGGCAAAAUUAGGACAGACUGAAGGCAGCAAAUUCCGCGUUGGCCGUGCACUUUGAGGAGAAGACAUUGUCUUUGUAUAAGUGCCCCUACAAUCAUCUCUUUACAGCAGAGAUA